CAGGACGAACGCUGGCGGCGUGCUUAACACAUGCAAGUCGAACGAGCUAAAAGGGCUUGCCCUUUAGUUAGUGGCGGACGGGUGAGUAACGCGUGAGCAACCUGCCUAUGUCUGGGGAAUAACACAAAGAAAUUUGUGCUAAUACCGCAUAAGACCACAGUAAGGCAUCUUACAGGGGUAAAAGAUUUUUAUCGGAUAUAGAGGGGCUCGCGUCCCAUUAGAUAGUUGGUAGUGUAACGGACUACCAAGUCAGCGAUGGGUAGCCGACCUGAGAGGGUGAUCGGCCACACUGGAACUGAGAUACGGUCCAGACUCCUACGGGAGGCAGCAGUGGGGAAUAUUGGGCAAUGGAGGCAACUCUGAACCCCCAGCAACGCCGCGUGAAUGAUGAAGGUCUUCGGAUUGUAAAGUUCUGUGAUGGGGGAAGAAGAAAGUGACGGUACCCCAUAAGCAAGCUACGGCUAACUACGUGCCAGCAGCGGC
rnacentral:rRNA from 1 species